UACGUAGGUGGCAAGCGUUGUUCGGAAUUAUUGGGCGUAAAGGGCGCGUAGGCGGUUUGUUAAGUCGGUCGUGAAAGCCCGGGGCUCAACCCCGGAGGGUCGACCGAUACUGGCAGACUAGAGUACAGAAGAGGUAACUGGAAUUCCCGGUGUAGCGGUGAAAUGCGUAGAUAUCAGGAGGAACACCAAUAGCGAAGGCAGCUCGCUGGGACGUUACUGACACUGAGGCGCGAAAGCGUGGGGAGCGAACAGG
rnacentral:rRNA from 1 species